rnacentral:lncRNA from 1 species
UAAACUUAUCAAUGUGGCUGUGCCUGGAACAAUUGAUGAACGAGCAAUAAAUAUGAAGAGAAUGCUUAAUCCAUGGGAAAGGAAUGAAAAUCAUACUUUGUGCCUAAACUCUGCAAAGGCUAUUGGAUGUACUGUGGUCAAUAUUGGGACACAAGACUUUAUUGAAGGAAGGGUAUGUGUCUCCAUAUGAUUUUCUGCUCAUCUAUUUUGACUAUGUUUCCUUUCGAGUCCCUUGCAAAGCAUAUUUCUAAUCAGAUGGAGUAGGAUUCUUUAUCUUGGGCUUUGAGCAGAGUUAGUGUGAUAUCAACUGCUAAUUUUAUGUUAGUCUAAAAAGAUUAAUCGUUAGCAUUAUUCUAACAAAGCACUCAAUAAUUAGUUUGGUGAUCCUUUCUCUUAUCAUUUGGUACGGCUGACGAGCUUAAAUUUUUUGUUACAUUGGAGAAGUUCAUUCUGUUCUGGACUCUAUUGUAUUCAAAGGCAUUCAAUUACCCAUGUCCUUUCCCUUGCUGCCUUUGCAGCAUCUGGUUCUCUGGUCUGUGGCUGGAUGAUGAUGGCUUUGAUCAAAGGCUUGAGAAAAAAUCUUGUCAAGAUGCUACUGAAUUAUGUGUUGCAUGUUUACUGGUUUUUACUACGUAAUAUUUACUCCAACUCUUGACAUGAAGAGUGUUUUUUCAUGUGGUUUUUGUGAGUGACAUUCUUUGAUUACCUUGGCCUUUUGGAGUAACAAUUAUACUGCAUUAAUACUUUGUUGUGUGAUUUUUCUCCAGAGGCAUCUUGUUCUUGGAGUAAUAUCUCAAAUUAUUAAGGUGAGGGCUCUGAAUGUAUACUUUAUUGACUACUUAAUGUGAUUUUCAAAUUUGAAGUUUUGGAGCAACUUUUUAUAGGACUAGAUUACCUUACAAAUAGCAGCCGUCAUUAAGAUACAAAAUGGUAUCACCAUAUAUUUUAAAUCUUAAGACACAAAACUGUAGUAUUAUAUUUCCCAAGGAGAUUGAUUUUUUAAUCACGCUAUUUCAGAUUCAACUAUUGGCAGACCUCAAUCUAAAGAAAACACCUCAAUUGGUGGAGUUAGUUGAUGAUAGCAAGGUAGAGUGGACGUUAUCUCGUAAAAUGAUUUGUUCAUGUGACUAUCUUCCAGAAAAGCUUGUGUUAUAUGCUUCAGCUCAAUUUUAUGAUCUCAGGAUGUAGAAGAGUUGAUGAACCUUCCUCCAGAAAAGAUCUUGCUUAGAUGGAUGAAUUUUCAAUUGAAGAAAGCUGGAUACAACAAAAUUGUGACAAACUUCUCUUCUGACAUAAAGGUAGAUGGCAAUGAAUUUGACUUGUGUACCAAUCGAGCAUGAAAACAAUUUUUCUUUAGUUUUAUUUUAUAUAUCUGCAGCUUUUAUUUAAUCCUUCCAAAGAAGAUAGUUUUCCCUCAAAUGGUGGUAGAGGCUCUAUUGCUGGUGAUUCUAUUUUCUCUUCCCUGUUUUUGGUCAACAUGAACAAUAGAGUAUUGGUUCUAGACAUAUUUUAAUAACUACUCCUUCCACCACUUCAAUUUAUGUGGCGUAGUUUUACUCAAAUAAAGAUUUAUACAGAAAAAAGACUUUUUGGAACUGCCAUGAGAGUUCUGUGGCUUAUAAAAGCAUGAUGCCGUUAAAGGUAAAAUGGAAAGAUUAAAGGUGAAUUGUUUUCAUGUAAAAAAGAUGACUUUGGAACAGACUAUAAUGCCGCAUAAAAUGUAACAGCGGGAGUAAACUUUAUGGAAUUUCUUGGUCUAUACAUUGAAACUACCACCAGUAGAGUCUGUUUCAGUUUAUUCAUUUUUCUUUUCCCAAUGCUCCAGGGUGAUAAAUAAGUCUGGCAUAGAAAUAUGGUAUAUAAGAAUCAAUUUGAGCAAACAACAUAUCCUUACUGCCCUGUGUCCUAUGAUAAGUGAGAUGAUCUGUACAAACUGUUAAGUUUUAUGUAAAAGGUACUCAAUUCAGACUUUCUUGUCCCAUACUCAAUAAUAAAUCAAAAGAGCUUUCAGUUUUAAUCUCUUCUAUGUGGUUUCUCAUUUUGUAGACAUAAUGCUAAUUCUUAAGUUAUCUAAUUGCUUACGUAGGAUGGAGAAGCUUAUGCUCGCCUCCUAAAUGUUCUAGCCCCAGAGUACACCACUCCUUCCAUGCUCACUGUAAGAGACCCUUCAGAAAGAGCAAAAUUGGUUCUAGAACAUGCAGAUAGGAUGGGUUGCAAAAGAUACUUAACAGCAAAAGAUAUUGUGGAAGGUUCUCCAAAUCUUAACCUUGCAUUUGUGGCACAUAUCUUUCAGCAUAGGUGAGAAUAAAUUAAAUGUUUCUUUUCACUCUAAUUGUGAGCUUACUAAUUGUUAGCUGUGUUUUUCUUUUUGGCUUUUACACCUACCUAGAAGAAGACAGCUUUAGUUGGUUCUUCUAAGUUCUUGAAGAACUUUAGUUGCAAGCCACAUUUGCUUGGAUUCUACCUUGGUACUUCUAAAAGCUACAAGUUUUUAUGCAUUGCAGUGUCCUUCUAGCUUGCUUCUUGGAUAAUUACAUAUCACUAGCUCACAGUAUAUGCCAGCAAAGAGAUAAUAGAAAGAGUUGAUUCUUGUACAGUUGUCAGUUGACCUGAAAUUUAUUAUAGGUUUUGCCAUAAUCUAAAACACUUCUAAGGCCUACUGUAGUUGUCAUUAUUACCACUCAUCGGGUAGUUGUUCCAUAACACCACUAGUCCAUUCACCAAUUUUGCUGUAUAAAGCUGAUAUGCUAUAGUAUUGGAGUUAUGGUAAAACUUGUAUUUACACUUUACUAGGGCUUGCAUUCUGUAAACUUUCGUCUAUUUGAUUAUUUUGUUUCAAUCUAUAAACUGAUCAUAAAUCUCUCAUCUACAGGAAUGGGCUUUCAACUGAAGCAAAGCAGGUAUCGUUUGUUGAGACAUCACCAGAUGAAGCUCAGAUGUCCAAGGAAGAAAGAUCAUUUCGCUUUUGGAUUAAUAGUCUUGGAAACUCAUCAUACAUAGACAAUGUUUUCGAAGAUCUGAGAGAUGGGUGAGUGUUUCCUUGAUACCUAGUAUAGAAAUUUUCCCCAUGGUAGUAUAAUAAUACCCUGGAAUUAGUUCAGUUUCUUUUUGAUCCAUUGCAAAUAAAGAACUUCAAUUCUGCUCUUAUCUUAUUUGGCUUUUACAGAAGUUCUUUCAUUAACAUUUUUGUGCAGAGCACUUUUCUGGCUAUGUUUCAUUCAGCGUGUAUGUUUGCCUUUUGCAGAUGGAUGCUUUUGGAGACACUUGACAAGGUCUCCCCAGGAAUUGUUAAUUGGAAAAUUGCCACUAAACCUCCAAUUAAGAUGCCUUUCAGAAAAGUAGAAAAUUGCAACCAAGUAGUCAAGAUUGGCAAACAAUUGAAAUUUUCCCUAGUAAAUAUUGCUGGAAAUGACGUUGUUCAAGGGAACAAGAAGUUAAUAUUGGGUAAGCCCUCUGUUUUAUUUCCCCACUGAAUUAGAAAUCAAAAGGCUCAAAAUUGUUAUGGACCAACUGCUUUAUUUCUUUCUGUUUCAGCUUACUUGUGGCAGUUAAUGAGAUGUAACAUGCUUCAGCUCUUAAGGAAUUUGAGAUUUCACUCCCAUGGAAAGGAAAUUACUGAUGCCCACAUUUUGGAGUGGGCAAACAGCAAAGUAAGAAACUCAGGAAGCCAGAGUCAUAUGACAAGUUUCAAGGUAUCUUCUCUACAUAUAUAUAUUACUAAAAUCGCAGUAGUUUUAAGGUAUCGUCUCCUGUGAUCUCAAUAUCCCAAAAUCAGAAAAAUGUAGUAGACAAACCUGUAACUAUUUCCAUAAAUCAUGAAUUUGCAUAGAAGUCAUUAAACAUUGUCUCUUUCAACUACAAUCAAGCUAGGUAAAGAUCAGUUCCUAGUACAGGUAAAAACUUUAUACUGGUCUAAGCAUCAUGUCAACAAGCUAUGCAAGUGUUACUGCUUACCCAUGGAAUCAGGUGACUAAAUAUGGGAACCAAGCUUUGAAGAAACAAAUAAAGUCCAUAGUAAAUUGUUUAUUCAUUUUCCUUGCGAUAUCAGCUUUUGAUGAGUCCAGAUGCUUUAUUUGCAUUACUGUUGGCCUGAGGCAUAUUUAGAAAUUAGAAUGUUGCAAUCACAUAUUCUGCAUCAGAGUAAAUGUCCCAUGUUGGGGUUGUCGUUUGGUAGAGUGUAUUAGCAAAAAUGUAGGGAUGGCAAUGGGGCGGUGUAGGGCGGGGGCGGUGUGGGUUGAGCUUAACCCGCAAAAUUUUUAAUCCGCCUCGCCCCGCCCCGCUUAACAACUCUUUUCAGUUUCAACCCACCCCACCACGCCCCGCAUAGACCAGCCCCGCAUAAUUUUUUUAAUAUUUUCUUUUUCUAGUUAUGUUUGAUACUAAAAAUAAAUUCAAAAAAAUAAAUUCAUUUUUUCAUUAAGUUGUAUUAAUUUAAUAGGAUAGUGACUUAAAUUUUUUAUUUUUGAGAGGUCAAUUGGGAAAUAUGUAAGAAAUUGUAUUAUUUUUUAUUGAACCGUUUUUCAUUUAUUAUCUUGAAUAUUUUAGUAGCUUUAAUGAAAUUAUCUUAAUAAAUAAUGUUCUAUUACUCUUAUAACAUGUAAAAACCUAAAAUUAAGUUUGAACUCACAUAAAAUCACAUAUACCCGCAACCCGCCCCGCCCCACAUUAAAUUUUAAAAAACCCACUUCAACACGCCCCCAUCCGACCCGCACCACACAACCUUAAACGCGCCCCGCCCCACAUAGCCUUAAACCCACCCCGCCCCACAUCCGCCCCGCCCCAUUGCCAUCCCUAAAUGCAUGUAUUAAUUAUAUGUAUUAGUAAUCCCUUGUUUGGUGCANNNNNNNNNNNNNNNNNNNNNNNNNNNNNNNNNNNNNNNNNNNNNNNNNNNNNNNNNNNNNNNNNNNNNNNNNNNNNNNNNNNNNNNNNNNNNNNNNNNNUACAUGCAUUACUAAUACACUCUAUUGGGUAUUAUUUAUACACUCUACCAAACGACCGACAAGGCAUGAGUUGAAUAAUGUGCUACAAGAUGUCCAGUUCAUAUGUUUAAUUUUACUUCUAUUUUACCCCUUGGUUUACUACGAUGAAAAAGGUGUGGACUUUAAUUUUAUUUACAGGAUAAGAGUUUGUCAACUGGAAUCUUUUUCCUGGAACUACUAAGUUCGGUUCAUCCUCGAGCUGUUAACUGGAGUCUUGUAACAAAAGGGGAAACUGGUAAUUUUCUUUCAGACUUGAACAGAUUCCUGCUUCCAGUAAUUCAAGUCAAUAUACUUGCUUGGUGGUGCACAAAAGAAAUUGGUUCUUGAUAUUUUCAUGCAAUAUAUUUCUUUGCUCCUUUUGUUUUGGUUUUGCAUCAUGAUAACAAUUUAUUAUCAAAUGUACAACAACAACAUACCCAGUGGAAUCCCACAAGUGGGGUCUUCCAAAAGACCCUCGGCUCAAGUGUAGCAAAUCCAAGUAUAGAGAGUAAGAAAACAGUGAGAAAAGUGGAAGCAGUGCAAAUCCUGCGAGAAAGGGACAAGAACAACAAAUAGUGUCACAAUCAAAACUAACUAAACAACUGACUUGCACUACUACAACUAGUAUGGCGACAAACACCUAAACCCUCGAAAAGCAAGACAACACUCCAUUGCCUACUAACUUCUACCCUAAUACGCGCUCUCCACACCCUACUAUCUAAGGUCAUGUCCUCGGUAACCUAGAGUUGAGUCAUAUCUCGUCUAAUCACCUCUCCCCAUUACUUCUUCGCUCUACCUUUACCUCUCCUCUUAUCCAUUAUAACCAACCACUCACACCUCCUCACUAGGGCGUCUCCACAUCUCCUCUUCACAUGUCCAAACCAUCUCAAUCUCGCUUCCCUCAUCUUGUCCACCACAGAGGCCACUCCCACCUUAUUCCGAAUAUCCUCAUUUCUAAUCUUAUCGCUCCUUAUAUGCCCACACAUCCACCUCAACAUCCUUAUUUCCAUGACAUGCAUCUUUUGAACAUGGGAGUUCUUGAUUGACCAACACUCCGCCCUAUACAACAAAGUCGGUCUAACCACCACUUUAUAAAACUUAUCUUUAAGUUUCGAUGGUACUUUUUUAUCACAUAAGACUUCGGAUGCAAGCCUCCACUUCAUCCACGCCGCCCCAAUACAGUAUGUGAAUCCUCAUCGAUGUCCCUACUUUCCUGGAUUAUGGACCCUAGGUACUUGAAACUAUCUUUCUUGGGGAUAACCCGAGUGUCAAGCCUCACUUCCACACUUGCCUCUUGCGUUGAAUCACCGAAUUUGCACCCCAAAUACUCUGUUUUGGUCCUGCUUAACCUGAACCCUUUAGUCUCUAAAUAUUAUCUAAUGUAAUUCGAUGUAAAUGUUGAGGGAUGCCCGACUGAAUUGUAUGGUAAUUUUUGAAAUAAUUACCAGAUCUACUUUCACUUUUGCUUAACACACUACAUAUCAUGUGUAGCUUUUUCCGAACAAUAAUUUCAGAAAUAUUUUAGUCAAAUGACUGGAAUAUUUUUUCCUAAGUAACAGAGGGUCCGAGGUUUAAAAACAUCACAUUCCCAUCAGCCUAUCCUUUAUGAACCGAACCCUAAGCACAACAGCUAUAUGUCUGUUGAUGAAUAUAGCAUAACCUUUAUGUCUGCUUUUGCCUAGCUAUACAAUCUGUUUCGUGGCUCUAAAACAGACUGAACAGUUGAAAUAACUGAAUCUUAUCUUUCAAUCGAUUUCUUUGCAUUCAGACGGCUGAAUGUUAUAGUUUCCUUCCUCUUCUCCUACUGUGAGGGAGCUAAGAUCACACCUCUGAGAAACUUCGUCACCUGUACCUUUUGGUGCUCGUUUGCUUUCGCAGUUCAUGUAGUAUGCUUGAGGAUGACUCUCUGAUUCAUUUUAAAUUUUGGAUGAUGCAGAGGAACAGAAGAAGAUGAAUGCAACCUACAUAAUCAGUAUUGCCAGGAAGCUUGGAUGUUCAAUUUUUUUGCUGCCUGAAGAUAUAAUUGAGGUAAUUGUUCAUUUGUAUGCAGUUGUCUUUUGGUUACUUUCUUUUACUUCUGUUAAUUUCCACUAAGACAUUCUAAUAAUUGAUGCAUCCUUCCUGAACAGAGGUUUCAUAUCUAAUAAUGCCUGGAUUAUUUUACUUUUUGGAAAAAUAAUCCCCUCUUUUAGGUUUGGAAACCCAUGGAUUUAGCCAAUGUAUUGGGCACAACUCACAAGUUUCCUCUAGUAUGCUGCAAAACUAAUAUAAUGGUGUGUUUAAUUAGGUAAACCAAAAGAUGAUCCUUACCCUGACAGCAAGUAUAAUGUAUUGGCACUUGAAACAACCGUCGGAAGACCAAAGUUUUGGAUCUUCAGAUAGUGAUAGUAGCUCUGUGGACACAGCCUCAACCUCAACGUUGGAUGAUACAGCUUCGGAGUCUUCAGCGGAUGAUAUCAG